rnacentral:rRNA from 1 species
UCCUACGGGAGGCAGCAGUGGGGAAUAUUGGGCAAUGGGGGAAACCCUGACCCAGCGACGCCGCGUGCGGGAAGAAGGUCUUCGGAUUGUAAACCGCUUUUAUUAGGGACGAAGCAAGUGACGGUACCUAAUGAAUAAGCCACGGCUAACUACGUGCCAGCAGCCGCGGUA